rnacentral:misc_RNA from 1 species
AAAAGUCGUAACAAGGUUUCCGUAGGUGAACCUGCGGAAGGAUCAUUAAAGAGUUUUGAGGUUGAUGGUGUGUCAAUUACGCGCACAUUUACGCGCCGUGUAAUGCGGAGAGUGUGUGUGUUGCCGUGUGGUGCACCAUCAUGACCUUUGCGUAUGUUGUGUUUGCCUGUGUUAUAUAUGUUACAUAUUAUAAUGAGAGACAACUUUUAACAAUGGAUCUCUUGGUUCUCG